ensembl:lncRNA
AUUGCUGGGAGUUAUUGGAAGUGCCUGGGGGCUUUCUGCCUGCAGCAGGAGGCUGCUCAGCUCACACCCUGAUUUUUGGGGGCCACCGCAGUGAUGGUGCUGGGCUUCUAAUCUGAUUUUUUUGGUUGCUGGUUUCUGCUGGCCUCCUUUGCCCUGUUUUUUUGGAGCCAGCUGUUGCUGCCAGGCUCAGAGCUUACUUUUCUGGGGCAAGAAUAAAGUUGCAGUUCCUGGGUUCUCAUGCUUUUUGAGGCUAGUGCAUGUUGACUGUGCAGUGCUUUUGCAGACUGAUUUCCAGCAGGGAGGCUGGGGUGGAGUUUGUGGGUGCUGCAGCUCCUCCUGCUUGCAGUGAUGGAGGGUGAUGGCUGUAGCGGGGCCUCUUGCAGUAAGGAUCAGCCCAAAUCUGUGAGCAGUUCUGGCAGCGAUGGGACCAUGGAGGCUGAGUGCUAGGGAUCCAGGGGUGUGCACUCCUUCCCCCACCAUGGGGUCUACUUCUGAGUGUCAUGCACUGGGGGGCUCCAAGAUAGUAAGGAUGCAGCAGAUACAUGAGAAGACUUUCACGAGCCUUCACAUUCAGAAUACACUGAGGGAGAUGCUGACUUUAUGUUGCUUCUGACUAAGGAGAACAUCAUUGGAAGACUAGCAGAGUAGAAAAGUAUUUCAGAUCCUCAGAAGAAACUGGAACUUGGUCCUCAAAAGAGGUGAAAAUUCCAUCAAGUUCAUUUUUUUAACCAAACCGACUUGUCCCUUCUCAUAUUUAUUUAGAGAGAGAAAAAGGAAAUACUUAGGCUUGAGCUGUUCUGACUUUCUGUAUGUAAUGGAUUAAGGCACUAUAUUCAUACUUAACCAGACUCCUUCCGCCAGUAUAUGCGUUGUGAAUCAAUGCUGUUUAUAUGCAUUGUAUAAUAUACUUUUCAUUCAGGAGGUUUUCUUCUUGUUAAUAUUGCAUCGAGGUUAUUUAUGUGUGAAAGUUGGAAACUAUGAUUAAAAGAAAUGCAAU